CUCACCUCUCACACACUGGUGCUGACAGUAUCCUGCUGCCGUACACUACCCACAAUGCCUCAGUGAGUCCAGUCAGGCGUCCUCGUCACUCCUUCUCCUCCCCUCUGGUCCACAGCAUCCUGGUGGAGGACAGACAGCGUCGUUACAGCCUGAGGAGCAGGAAGUCAG